UUUCUUUGAAUUUGUAUUUGC
rnacentral:piRNA from 1 species